UACGGAGGGAGCUAGCGUUGUUCGGAAUUACUGGGCGUAAAGCGUGCGCAGACGGUUGCGUAAGUCAGAUGUGAAAGCCCCGGGCUCAACCUGGGAAUUGCAUUUGAGACUGCAUAGCUAGGGUGCGGAAGAGGGAAGCGGAAUUUCCGGUGUAGCGGUGAAAUGCGAUAGAUAUCGGAAGGAACACCAGUGGCGAAAGCGGCUUCCUGG
rnacentral:rRNA from 1 species